rnacentral:sRNA from 1 species
AUGGGACUUGAUGAAU